UUGUUUUAUUUUCAUAUUAGUGUUAUUAAUUAAUGUUUACUGCUUCUGCUUAUGGUAUGACCCAAACAGGUAUCCUCGUUUAACAGAGGAUGAUUUUGCAACACAUUGCCCAUUUUGUCUCAAUAUUUGCAAUCGCAAGGCCUGUUUUGCGGUCACACAAAACAAAUGAGGUACACAUUUUGUGUUGGUUUCAUUUCUAUUUUGCCACCUGGACUUAGUGUGUUAGAUAUUUUGUCUAAUUUCUUC
rnacentral:lncRNA from 1 species